rnacentral:rRNA from 1 species
UACGAAGGAUGCAAGCGUUAUCCGGAUUCAUUGGGCUUAAAGGGAGCGUAGGUGGCCUUAUAAGUCAGUGGUGAAAUCUCUGGGCUUAACUCAGAAAUUGCCAUUGAUACUGUAGGGCUUGAGUAUAGUUGCCGUUGGCGGAAUAUGACAUGUAGUGGUGAAAUACAUAGAGAUGUCAUAGAACACCGAUUGCGAAGGCAGCUAACUAAGCUCAAACUGACGCUGAGGCGCGAAAGUGUGGGGAUCAAACAGG